rnacentral:rRNA from 1 species
UACGUAGGGUGCGAGCGUUGUCCGGAAUUAUUGGGCGUAAAGAGCUCGUAGGCGGUCUGUCGCGUCGGCUGUGAAAUCCCGAGGCUCAACCUCGGGUCUGCAGUCGAUACGGGCAAACUAGAGUAUUGCAGGGGAGACUGGAAUUCCUGGUGUAGCGGUGAAAUGCGCAGAUAUCAGGAGGAACACCGGUGGCGAAGGCGGGUCUCUGGGCAAUACCUGACGCUGAGGAGCGAAAGCGUGGGGAGCGAACAGG